GGGCCGUUGGCGCAGUUGGCUAGCGCGCCUGCAUGACACGCAGGAGGUCACUGGUUCAAGUCCAGUACGGCCCA
rnacentral:tRNA from 1 species